AUGUACAUUCCUAUAGCGUUAAUGCACCAAAUCUCAUUAUAACGCUGUAGUUAAGCGUGCUUGUCCUAGAGCAGUAUUGGGAUGGGUGACCUCCCGGGAAGUCCUAGUGUUUUACAUU
rnacentral:rRNA from 1 species